ACGGAGCAACGCCGCGUGAGUGAUGAAGGUUUUCGGAUCGUAAAGCUCUGUUGUUAGGGAAGAACAAGUGCGAGAGUAACUGCUCGCACCUUGACGGUACCUAACCAGAAAGCCACGGCUAACUACGUGCCAGCAGCCGCGGUAAUACGUAGGUGGCAAGCGUUGUCCGGAAUUAUUGGGCGUAAAGGGCUCGCAGGCGGUUUCUUAAGUCUGAUGUGAAAGCCCCCGGCUCAACCGGGGAGGGUCAUUGGAAACUGGGAAACUUGAGUGCAGAAGAGGAGAGUGGAAUUCCACGUGUAGCGGUGAAAUGCGUAGAGAUGUGGAGGAACACCAGUGGCGAAGGCGACUCUCUGGUCUGUAACUGACGCUGAGGAGCGAAAGCGUGGGGAGCGAACAGGAUUAGAUACCCUGGUAGUCCACGCCGUAAACGAUGAGUGCUAAGUGUUAGGGGGUUUCCGCCCCUUAGUGCUGCAGCUAACGCAUUAAGCACUCCGCCUGGGGAGUACGGUCGCAAGACUGAAACUCAAAGGAAUUGACGGGGGCCCGCACAAGCGGUGGAGCAUGUGGUUUAAUUCGAAGCAACGCGAAGAACCUUACCAGGUCUUGACAUCCUCUGACAACCCUAGAGAUAGGGCUUUCCCUUCGGGGACAGAGUGACAGGUGGUGCAUGGUUGUCGUCAGCUCGUGUCGUGAGAUGUUGGGUUAAGUCCCGCAACGAGCGCAACCCUUGAUCUUAGUUGCCAGCAUUUAGUUGGGCACUCUAAGGUGACUGCCGGUGACAAACCGGAGGAAGGUGGGGAUGACGUCAAAUCAUCAUGCCCCUUAUGACCUGGGCUACACACGUGCUACAAUGGACAGAACAAACGGCUGCGAGACCGCAAGGUUUAGCCAAUCCCAUAAAUCUGUUCUCAGUUCGGAUCGCAGUCUGCAACUCGACUGCGUGAAGCUGGAAUCGCUAGUAAUCGC
rnacentral:rRNA from 1 species